UACGAAGGGGGCUAGCGUUGCUCGGAAUCACUGGGCGUAAAGCGCACGUAGGCGGAUUGCUAAGUCAGGGGUGAAAUCCUGGAGCUCAACUCCAGAACUGCCUUUGAUACUGGCGGUCUCGAGUCCGGGAGAGGUGAGUGGAACUGCGAGUGUAGAGGUGAAAUUCGUAGAUAUUGGGAAGAACACCGGUGGCGAAGGCGGCCAUCUGGACCGGCACUGACGCUGAGGCGCGAAAGCGUGGGGAGCAAACAGG
rnacentral:rRNA from 1 species